rnacentral:rRNA from 1 species
AUGGCCCCGCGGUGCAUUAGCUAGUUGGUAAGGUAAAGGCUUACCAAGGCGAUGAUGCAUAGCCGAGUUGAGAGACUGAUCGGCCACAUUGGGACUGAGACACGGCCCAAACUCCUACGGGAGGCAGCAGUAGGGAAUCUUCCACAAUGGACGCAAGUCUGAUGGAGCAACGCCGCGUGAGUGAAGAAGGUUUUCGGAUCGUAAAGCUCUGUUGUUGGUGAAGAAGGAUAGAGGUAGUAACUGGCCUUUAUUUGACGGUAAUCAACCAGAAAGUCACGGCUAACUACGUGCCAGCAGCCGCGGUAAUACGUAGGUGGCAAGCGUUGUCCGGAUUUAUUGGGCGUAAAGCGAGCGCAGGCGGAAGAAUAAGUCUGAUGUGAAAGCCCUCGGCUUAACCGAGGAACUGCAUCGGAAACUGUUUUUCUUGAGUGCAGAAGAGGAGAGUGGAACUCCAUGUGUAGCGGUGGAAUGCGUAGAUAUAUGGAAGAACACCAGUGGCGAAGGCGGCUCUCUGGUCUGCAACUGACGCUGAGGCUCGAAAGCAUGGGUAGCGAACAGGAUUAGAUACCCUGGUAGUCCAUGCCGUAAACGAUGAGUGCUAAGUGUUGGGAGGUUUCCGCCUCUCAGUGCUGCAGCUAACGCAUU